CCUUUGCGGUCGAAGCGGAGAAUUUAAGCCCCAGUAAACGGCGGUGGUAACUAUAACCAUCCUAAGGUAGCGAAAUUCCUUGUCGGGUAAGUUCCGACCUGCACGAAUGGCGUAACGACUUCCCUGCUGUCUCAACCACAGACCCGGCGAAAUUGCAGUACGAGUAAAGAUGCUCGUUACGCGCGGCAGGACGAAAAGACCCCGGGACCUUCACUAUAGCUUGGUAUUGGUGUUCGGUUCGGUUUGUGUAGGAUAGGUGGGAGACUGUGAUGCCUCAACGCCAGUUGGGGUGGAGUCGUUGUUGAAAUACCACUCUGAUUGUAUUGGACAUCUCAACCUCGGCCCGUGAUCCGGGUUAGGGACAGUGCCUGGUGGGUAGUUUAACUGGGGCGGUUGCCUCCCAAAGAGUAACGGAGGCGCCCAAAGGUUCCCUCAGCCUGGUUGGCAAUCAGGUGUUGAGUGUAAGUGCACAAGGGAGCUUGACUGUGAGACUGACAGGUCGAGCAGGUAGGAAACUAGGGACUAGUGAUCCGGCACCGGCUUGUGGAAGCGGUGUCGCUCAACGGAUAAAAGGUACCCCGGGGAUAACAGGCUGAUCUUCCCCAAGAGUCCAUAUCGACGGGAUGGUUUGGCACCUCGAUGUCGGCUCGUCGCAUCCUGGGGCUGGAGUAGGUCCCAAGGG
rnacentral:rRNA from 1 species